AAGUUUGCGCGGACCCCGUCCCGAGCCCGCCGCGGCCAUGGACGCGCCCGCCCGGCUGCUGGCCCCGCUCCUGCUCCUCUGCGCGCAGCAGCUCCGCGGCACCAGAGCGAUGAAUGACAUCGGCGACUACGUGGGCUCCAACCUGGAGAUCUCCUGGCUCCCCAACCUGGACGGGCUGAUAGCCGGCUACGCCCGCAACUUCCGGCCUGGCAUUGGAGGCCCCCCCGUGAAUGUGGCCCUCGCCCUGGAGGUGGCCAGCAUCGACCACAUCUCAGAGGCCAACAUGGAGUACACCAUGACGGUGUUCCUGCACCAGAGCUGGCGGGACAGCAGGCUCUCCUACAACCACACCAACGAGACCCUGGGCCUGGACAGCCGCUUCGUGGACAAGCUCUGGCUGCCCGACACCUUCAUCGUGAACGCCAAGUCGGCCUGGUUCCACGAUGUGACGGUGGAGAACAAGCUCAUCCGGCUGCAGCCCGACGGCGUGAUCCUGUACAGCAUCCGGUGAGCGGACUGCCCACCCCGGGCUCUAGGGGAGACUGCCCGGGCCAAGCGUC
rnacentral:sRNA from 1 species